rnacentral:misc_RNA from 1 species
GAAAUGCGAUACUUGGUGUGAAUUGCAGAAUCCCGCGAACCAUCGAGUCUUUGAACGCAAGUUGCGCCCGAAGCCAACUUGGUUGAGGGCACGCCUGCCUGGGCGUCUCACGUUGCGUCGCCCGCGCCCCCUCCCCCCUUCAUUUUCGGGAGGGGGGGAGGAAGGGCUGCGGGCGGAUGUUGGCCCCCCGCGCGCGGUCGGCCCAAAAGCGAGUCCCCCGCGACCGACGACGCGUCGCGACGAGUGGUGGUUGACAAACCGUUGCGUCGCCUCGCGCGCGUCCGGUCCGUCGCGGGGGGCCUGUCGUGACCCUAUCGCGCCGCCGCCAAGGCGCUCCGAUCGCGACCCCAGGUCAGGCGGGAUUACCCGCUGAGUUUAA